UGAGCCAAGCUGCCAAGUCAGUUUCCCACAAUGCAGCUGGCAUAGCUUUGCUCUGGGGCAUUGUGGGAAAUUCAGCUGUUGGCUAUACUCAGAGACCUUGGGAUGCUACCAGAUAAGUCCAAAGGGUCUCACAGACCAAGGAAGAGGCCUACCAGGAUUCAGUUGGCCUAAGUCCCCCUGAGACCUGGAACCGACCCCAAAGCAACCUAGUAGGCCUCACCCCACAUUGCCUAUCCGUGAAUUGAGAGUAUACCCUUCAACUCAGACUGUGUGUUGUGGGGAAGGCGGACAGUGACGGAUUAUGUUUUUAAAAGCCAGGAUACGGUGAAGCACUGCUGGAAACUGACCUGAGAAGUUCUGCUCAACUAUUCAUGCUAGAAGAUCAUUGCGUUGAUCGGUUCCAGAGGUACCAAACGUCGGAUCGCCUUCCUUCCCCUGUCUGUUUCCUCCAGCUGUCUCAAGAACCACUUUUUUUGCUGUUUACUGAGGUUCCCUCAUCUUUUUUUUUUUUUUAAACUAUUACUCAUUUGUGCCGGGACCAACGGACAAGAAGCAAAAGAAACCUUCCAAGGAUGCCCAUAUUCAGAUGAGAAAGAGAAACAAAAGUUUUCUCCUACCCGAUUAAACUGAAAGGAAAAAAAGGGAUGAUUUGGAGCAAAGCAACGAGGAGCUUUUAAGAAGCGGACAGAAAAGCUCCUGGCGCCGGAUUGCAGGUCUUCAGCCCCCAGCCAGAGAAAGAGAAGCGUAAAAAAGGGGGAGGCGGCGGCCGGGUCUCUAACGCGAACGGGGCUUCAAGAGAAGGGCUUCUGGAGCUAAUAAUGGAAGCUCGCCUUGUAUACCUCGCCCGCCUGCGACUUAAGCCAGUUUGCCGGCGAGGCGAGGCGAACCGAGGUAGGGAAAAGGCGCACGGGGAGCGCGUAAAAAUUCACGUUGCAAAAGGAGGGCUGGUUUUAUUUUUGGCGAGCCCAGAUGCAAAACCCCCGCGGCUCAAAGAAACCCCUUCUUCCCUUGAAGCAGCCCCCAAACCUGCCAGCUUGACUUCUAAGCUCCACAACUGACCGGAUCCUGUCCAGAUAAGGCACCCACACACCCACUCAAAACACGUCUCCAUGCCUCAAAUGGGAACACACCUGAGGAAAUGCAGGUUGCUGUUGUAAAAGUUAUUGUUCUUAUUUUUAUCGCCACCAUUAUCAUUAUUAGCAGCAACAACCCUGAGAUCCGUAGCAAACGUUCAAGGCAGCGUCUUACCUGAAGAGCUCUAGAAAGGAGUGUUUAUUUGGGGACCCCCAAAGUGGUUCCUCCUUAAGGGGUAAGAAAGGGGGAUGGGUUUGGGGAUGGAGGGACGGAAGGAAGGGAGAGACGCGGUGAUGUAACCAAGAGGAGGAGGUUGGUCCUUCUCGCAAAGGAUUCCUGCGUUAAUUAAAAUAAACAAGCUAAUUGGGGGUGGAGAAUGAGAGUCCCGCUCUUUCUCUUUCCUUUCUCUCUCUUCCCGUCCCCUGCCCCCAAUCGCAAUCUCCACCGCACCUCUAUGGAGAACCGGCGCAAAUGUCUAACCUCUGGCAUCUUACCACAGCGCCUUGCUUUUGAGGGGUUCUAUAACCCCAUGUAGAAAUGCGGCUAGUAGUAAUACUAAUAGAUAGAAAUUCCCCUUCCCAGCAAAUGAAAAGCAAUAAUAAUAAUAAUAAAAUAAUAUUAAUAAUAAUGAAAUCGGACCCUACCUGCCAGUAUUCGCAAAGCUGCGAGGUCUGCCUGCUUAGCACUCCAUCAGUGAUCAGGUGAGGGAGACCUUGCGGUAAAGAAAAACGAGGGAGCCAAGAGCGUGAUUGGAAACGAGGGAUGAAGGGACCUGCCAAACGUCUCCUCCCCACCCCACCCCCACUCCCCGCUCCCCAAUAGACGCAUCGGGGGGGGGGAGACGCUGUUUGGCGCACAAUGCAACCUUCCUUCGCUUUGCCAGGAUUGAGGUCUAGGUGGAUAGAUUUACAAGAGCGCCUCAGCCUCGAUUCCUGCGCGCUCCUCUUCUGGUCUGAAAGUGCGCGCUCUGUGUGUUUGUGUAUAUUGAAAUACAUAUAUAUAUAUUUAAAGGGGGAAAAAGACCACUGUUGCUAGCCUACGGGAUGUCUGAUGCCUUCCCAUUAAAGAUAACUCCUCUCUCUUCUCUCUCUCAAUCGUCAACUUGAUGUGAUCUGAUCUGAUCCGCGGGUGCGGAGAGAAGACCUGGCUUGGCCAGCUAAAAAGGAACUUGAAACACACAGGAUUAUUCUAAGGAAAGCAGGGAGGAUUGCAGAAGCACGGGCCCCAUUUUAACUCAAUUAAAUAAAGAAUCAGGUGCUUGUAGGAAUGGGAUUCACUCUUGCUGCUCUUUCCUUCCUUCCUUCCUUAGUAUGACAGCAAUGCUCCUGAAAGUGCGAUCCACCGAGGCCAAAGAAACAGGGGAGACAAGGCGAGGGUUGGAAAUCACCUUGUAAAGACUUGGGGAGAAUCACUGCACAGACUUUAUUCCCAGAGUUGAAAAGUGCAAGGACGCAAUCGACGCGGGGGAAAGUCUCCUGCGCAAGCCCCCGCCCCUUCGCCCAGAAAUGAAUGAGGUUAGUGGUUUUGCUCGGCUGAUGGCGCCCAUUUCAACCGAGCUGCCUCCGCAGGUGAAGUUCCUAGUCGAUUGUCUCGCUAAGCCCACCUUCCUCUUGCACAGGAAUGUCAACUUGAGUAAAAUAUUUGAAUGGCAAUGCCCAUCAA